AGAGGCCCCAGUUAAUCCUAACAUAGAAUCUGUCAAAUCAUUCUUCAAGGAAAGGCUUGAUGUGGACCCGAAAGAGGAAAGCAGGACAUUCUUAACGUUUGUCAUCCCCCAUGAGAAAGAACCACUUCUGACGAGGUUCUUCGGGGAACUCCAAAACAGGGAAAGGGAAUUCGGUGUUUGG